rnacentral:rRNA from 1 species
CCCUUAGAUGUCCUGGGCCGCACGCGUGCUACACUGACACUUACACCGAGUUUUUCCAAUACCGAAAGGCCAUUGGUAAUCAGCAAUAAGUGUCGUGAUGGGGAUAGAUCUUUGGAAUUAUUGAUCUUGAACGAGGAAUGCCUAGUAAUCGUAGGUCAUCAGCCUGCGAUGAUUACGUCCCUGCCCUUUGUACACACCGCCCGUCGCUCCUACCGAUUUCGAGUGGUUCGGUGAACCUUUCGGACCGGCAAUGCCUCGUGUUGCGCCGGAAAGUCAAGUAAACCAUAUCACUUAGAGGAAGGAGAANUCGUANCA